rnacentral:rRNA from 1 species
UUUCGCAAUGCCCGAAAGGGUGACGAAGCGACGCCGCGUGAGUGAGGAAGGCCUUCGGGUUGUAAAGCUCUGUCAGGAGUUAAGAAAUGUAAGUGUGCUAUACCACAUUUAUUUGACGAAGGCUCCAAAGGAAGCCACGGCUAACUCUGUGCCAGCAGCCGCGGUAAUACAGAGGUGGCAAGCGUUGUUCGGAAUUAUUGGGCGUAAAGAGCACGUAGGUGGGCUUGUAAGUCAGAUGUGAAAGCCUUCUGUUCAACGGAAGAAUUGCAUCUGAAACUGCGAGUCUUGAGUGUAGGAGGGGAGAAUGGAACUUCUGGUGGAGCGGUGAAAUGCGUAGAUAUCAGAAGGAACGCCGGCGGCGAAAGCGACUCUCUGGCCUAUUACUGACACUGAGUGUGCGAAAGUUAGGGGAGCAAACGGGAUUAGAUACCCCGGUAGUCCUAACUGUAAACGAUGGGCACUAAGUAGAGGGGUUUU